UACAGAGGUCCCAAGCGUUGUUCGGAUUCACUGGGCGUAAAGGGUGCGUAGGUGGCCAGGUAAGUUUGGUGUGAAAGCUCGGAGCUUAACUCCGAAAUGGCAUUGAAUACUAUCUGGCUUGAGGGUCGGAGGGGAGACUGGAAUUCUCGGUGUAGCAGUGAAAUGCGUAGAUAUCGAGAGGAACACCAGUGGCGAAGGCGAGUCUCUGGACGAGUACUGACACUGAGGCACGAAAGCUAGGGGAGCAAACAGG
rnacentral:rRNA from 1 species